AAAAGACAAAACCUUGGAUUUCCGUGUUGAAAGUUUGACCGUCCUGUCUUAUUUGAAAAAGUUAUAAAAAAUUUUAAAAGACAAGUCAUGCAUAAAGUAUUAAUCAUGUUUUAUCAUCUAACAACAAUAAAAAUACUAAUUAUAAAAAAUUUCAUAUAAGACGAUCAGUCAAAUGUUGGACACGAAAAUAUAGGGUUUAUCUUUUU
rfam:Oryza sativa (indica cultivar-group) chromosome 10, whole genome shotgun sequence.